AUGCUCACUUCGGCAGCACAAAUACUACAAUUGGAACAAUACAGAAAAGAUUAGCAUGACCCUGCCAAGGAUGACAUACAAAUUCGUGAACAAUUACACAUUUUU